rnacentral:rRNA from 1 species
CGGCGGACGGGUGAGUAAUGCCUAGGAAUCUGCCUGGUAGUGGGGGACAACGUUUCGAAAGGAACGCUAAUACCGCAUACGUCCUACGGGAGAAAGCAGGGGACCUUCGGGCCUUGCGCUAUCAGAUGAGCCUAGGUCGGAUUAGCUAGUUGGUGAGGUAAUGGCUCACCAAGGCGACGAUCCGUAACUGGUCUGAGAGGAUGAUCAGUCACACUAGAACUGAGACACGGUCCAGACUCCUACGGGAGGCAGCAGGC